rnacentral:rRNA from 1 species
GAUGAACGCUCGCGAUAGGCUUAACACAUGCAAGUCGAGGGGCAGCACAAGGUAGCUUGCUCUCUGGGUGGCGACCGGCGCACGGGUGCGUAACGCGUAUGCAACUUGCCCUAUACAGGAGGAUAACCCGUCGAAAGACGGACUAAUACUGCGUAUGCUCACAACUUGGCAUCAAGUGGUGAGGAAAGAAAUUCGGUAUAGGAUAGGCAUGCGUCCCAUUAGCUUGUUGGUGAGGUAACGGCUCACCAAGGCAACGAUGGGUAGGGGAACUGAGAGGUUACUCCCCCACACUGGUACUGAGACACGGACCAGACUCCUACGGGAGGCAGCAGUGAGGAAUAUUGGUCAAUGGGCGCGAGCCUGAACCAGCCAAGUCGCGUGAAGGAUGACUGUCUUAUGGAUUGUAAACUUCUUUUAGACGGGAAUAACAAGAGUCACGUGUGACUUCCUGCAUGUACCGUAUGAAUAAGCAUCGGCUAACUCCGUG